CGCCUGUUUGCGUGCGUGUGGCGAUGUAGCGGAACUUGCACGCGCCGGACCUGUUUUUUUUUUCUUUGCUUCGUCAUUGUUCGUGCCUUGCCGGUGCUGCCCGACACCUACCCCCUCUCCCCAUACAGGCACUGGUCUUUUCGACUUUCUUCUCUGUUUUUUUUUUUUUUGUGCUCUCCGUCUCCUGCACAGUCAUGAGCGCCGUACUCGUCGACACCCGUGGUCACGAGUACCGGCUGGAGAUGGCCGUGGAUCCCGAGCGCGGCUCCUACGGUGCACUUUUUCAACAGGCCACAACGUACCGUGCCCAACGCAUCCUCCCUCCAUGUACAGGGGACAUACCGGGACUUGUGGAGGACAAUGCUAGUGGGGCGUGCGCUAAGUCGUUGGCGAGCGCAGCACUUGUCACUUACAUUCCGCUCACCACCUCUCUUCAGGAGUCGGACAUCACACCCGAAGCUGCUUCGCUGCACCUCGUCUUGCAGAACAUCCGCCUUCGCCGACAAGUUGAUCACCCGUACCUGCGCACUCUGAUAGAUGCUUUCUACAUGAACCAGGUUCCAAGCUCUCCAAGCUCCACUAGUGGCGGCGUCAGCAGCGUCGUGGUCACGCAAGGGCCCGGUGCGUCCCCAGCGAACCCGUCACCCCCACGCCAAAAUCUCGUGAAACAGACAGGCACUGCAGAAGACAGUGGAGGCACCAACUGGCCUGCCGGCGCAGCCGUACCCGCGCUGGCCUCGUCGUCAGCAAUAACUGCGCUAGUGGUAGUGGAGGAGUACAUUGAGGGCUGUUCUCUCGCCGACUACGCCGACGCCGUGGCACAGAGGCAUCUCAAGCAAGGCAACCUCCAGAUUCUGAACGACGCGGCGGCCAUUGCGUGCCAACUCGCGCAGGUUCUGCUGCACUUGCACGCUGUGGGGCAUGUGCUGUGCCGUGAUCUUCCCCUUGACUGCGUGCACAUGGAUAUCAACAAGGGCUGUGUGCAGGUGCGGCUUCCUCUUUCAGCUGCAUCGAUGCUCGAUUUGGUGGAGGGGUCGGCCAGCUCUGCUCCGGCAGCGGUCAUGGCGUCGCCACGCACGACGUCCAUAGGUGAAUCAACGAGUAAUGCCUUUGGUGAAGGAAAGUGUUUCGUUGGUGCACCAGAGAUGAGCGAAAUGUCAGACUGGAAUGAAAUCUCGUCUGCACCAUGUGGUGCGGUUCCUCUCUACGCUGAUGUGUGGGCAUUGGGGCUGCUGAUGUUGCAGCUGUGUUCCUUGAAUCACAAGAACCUCUCCGGGGCCACAAACGCUACAGAACGCCUUCUCGUGAUCCGGAGUCAUCUGCCCCAACCCGCAGCUCUGCUCCCGGCGGACACGGAGGAAGGCAUGGCCGAGCUCAUUCGCAGCUGCCUGGAGUGCUCUCCCACGAAGCGGCCGACUCUUUCGAUGCUGCUCAAGUCUAGUGCCUUUGCGAAGCACCGCUCCUUUACAAUGCGCGAGCCGAACCGCGCCGUCAUCAGCCUCGCUGAAGCCGUCAAAGCCAUCAGGAGACAUGGACGCACAUCUGCAUCGAUGCAGCCGGCCGCGCCCCACUCGCGAACCAUGAGCACGAUCGACGCAGACCUUCCUAACAAGAUCGUCGACGACUCCUUGAUAUCCCUAUCGCUACAAAAUCUGCACUGGACGACUCCGCCCAGCUUUCGCGACGUUUUUGCGCCGUUGCUCGUGUCUCCUCCGGAAACUGCUGACCCGUGUGAGGUGCCAGUCGGCAUUGCGUCACACGACCCGACCGCCGCAGCCACAACACAGUCUCGACAACGUCCACCUCCAUCGUUGGCAGCAGCGACGAAGCAGGCACUGCACGAUGUCGCGCUUCUGCAUGACCGGUACCGCGACAUAUGUGUGAUGGCCACACAGACGUCUGCACCAGCCACGCCCUCUGCACAAAAGAGCGCUUACGCAGCGUUGUGGGACCGCGUGCAAAACACUCGGCAGUUGCCACGCGACAUCACCACCACAACGGCCAUUAUGGGGGAGCUCACUGAGCACUUGGCCAAGCUGGAGCAAAACGACCCUAAGCUGUGCUUUCGCUUUAUGGAGCUGCUUUUGGAGGGUUUCGCGACCUGUCCGUCGGACAUCGCCUCUGUCGCAGACAGCGUUGCCCUGGCCGACACACUGUUCCACGCCUCUGCCACGGACACAGCGGCCACCGGUGGGGCGCAACCGGUGCGCAUGGAGGCCCCCCUCGAGCAAGCGACGCGGCGCUCGGUGCCUGAGGAAAAGGAGGCUGUUUUCAACGUCGCCGAAACGCUGCGUGUGAUGCCGUCCAUGCCGGCGCACAUGAUCUCGUCUGACCGGGCCGCCAACACGUCUUCUGUCCUCUACAACUCGUGGCUACGGAAACAGCGAAAAAAGCACCUGAAGAUGGACGAAUACUGACCCGUGGGAAGAGGAGGGCGGCAAGUGUAUGUCUUGUGCGGAGGUCUGUGUGUAAGUAUGCUUGCCUCCUGCGACGCAAUGGAUUUGCUUUCCGAGCUUGCUUUUACUGUUCUGGUGGGGCGGUGCCACACUGGAAAUCCGCCUCCUGCACGCCCUCAAAUCUUCUGGGAUCUG
rnacentral:misc_RNA from 1 species